UCAUAUGACAACUGCAUAUCACAGCUUAAUCUCUUGUAGUAACAGCAUGUGGCCUCUUCCUUCUUAAAAUGGAAAAGGAUAUGAAAAAGAAGAUAAACUUUCAAGGACAUCUAAUCAUUGCCUGUUGCCAGCAUAUUCAUAAGAACCUCUGAAAAGGGAGCUUCUGGGCAGAAUGGGGGCUUCUCUCUUCUUUCUGUUGUUUGAUUCCUCUUCAGGAUAUGAUAAUGGAAUUGAUCUUUACAGGAAUGGAUGGUGAGCAAAGCAGGUUUGGAAUGUCUGUUCCAUGUUUUUCCCCUUUGUUCCUGCCACCAUCUAGAAAGCUUGGAGAGAGAACGCAUCUUCAUUCAGCUUUGCAAAAAAGGCCUAAUUCAGGCUUAGGCUAUUGAGUUGACUGAAGGACUGGAGAUGUUGGAGCGAGGA